GGGUUACUUUUGGCUACAUAUUUCAGGGACAGAAUCCAGAUAUGAAGUUAAUAUCAGAGUUUGAAUGCCUUGAACCCAAGAAAUUUGGUUUGGUCAAUGUAUCAUUCACAAGAUACUCUACACUAUAUUAUUAUGAUAUGAGAUUGGUUAAUUGAUGAAUGCUAAGUCAUUGGGAGUAUUGAUGCAAAAUAAGGAUGAUUUGCUAAAACAUUCUUCCAAUUGGUUUAGUGGAUUCUGGAAUCCUUGAGUCCUUGCUGAGCUCUCUACUGCAAGGUGAUUUUUACUAUUUUCGGAAGCCAUGACUCGAAAGGAAUGGCUCUUAUCUGUUACUCUAGGAAGCUGCUGAUUGGAAAGGGAACAUGUACCAAUUGCUGGAGUGAUCUAUUUUAUGGUUGGAUCCAUUGCUCAAUGGAUGAAUAUUUCAUGUGCCAGAUCAAGAGGCUGCUGGUUCGAACCCAGCUGAGUCUUCUCCCUUUGCUAAUGAUUUUUAUUUGUACAUUUGAUAGUAUUAUUAUCCUCACAAUAAUUGUCAGGCUUUGUGGAGAGAUGUCUGCAUAUUCUUGGAUAACAUGAAGGCUCCAGUGGAGGUUUGAUAAUGCUGAGCAGCAGUAAUGGGUUUUCUACUUUUCUUGUCUAUAAUAAAUAACAAAGAUUUGUUGUUAGUUGUUGGAGAUUGAUGUGUUAAAAAAUGGUCCAGAAAACAUGGGAGCAUGGUGGGAAUGAAAUCCUAAUCGCUAAAUUGGGAAUUGUUU
rnacentral:misc_RNA from 1 species